rnacentral:tRNA from 1 species
AGAGGUGUGACUCAAGCGGUGGAGUGACUGUCUGGCAAACACAAAGCCCUGAGUUCAAACCUCAGUACCACCA